AAGCUCAACCUGAGACACCAGCAAGAGCCUUUAGAGACCUGGAGUUUCACGCUAUGUCAGCAUCUGAUCAUGCAGAUGCUUUCCCUCUAGAAAAACAGCCUGGUUCUGAUGCUUUCAGCCUGUCAUCUGCUCCCCUUUUCCAGGUGAUAGCUGACUGAGAAUGGUACAUUCACACUACAUGGUCUGAUCAAAGGGAAAUGCACACAGUGGCAAGAGAAGCCUCAACUACCACCACACCCUGUCCUCUGCCAAGGGAGGAGUUGGCCCCACAGCUGGGAAACGCAGCAGAAGAGCCAACUCAGAUGCCCCAAUCUUCACACAAGACGUUGGAGCAGGCAAUACCAACAGUUUUGUCUCAAAUUUAUAAUGAAGACCUCAGCCACACGGACAAGAGACACACAGGGCUGCCAGGACAAUUCAACUUAUGAAGAAGUGCUGUCAAC